rnacentral:rRNA from 1 species
GAUGAACGCUGACAGAAUGCUUAACACAUGCAAGUCGACUUGAACUUCGGUUUGGGUUGCGGACGGGUGAGUCACGCGUAAAGAACUUGCCUCACAGCUAGGGACAACAUUUGGAAACGAAUGCUAAUACCUGAUAUUAUGAUUUUAGGGCAUCCUAGAAUUAUGAAAGCUAUAUGCGCUGAGAGAGAGCUUUGCGUCCGAUUAGCUAGGUUGAGGGGUAACGGCGCACCAAGGCGAUGAUGGGUAGCCGGCCAGGGAGGGUGAGCAGCCACAAGGGGACGAAGACACGGUGCAGACUCCUACGAGAGGAAGCAGUGAAGAAUAUAGCACAGUGAGGGAAGGCGUGAUGGAGCAAUGCCGAGAGAAGGAUGAAAGCCGUCAGGAAGAAAACUGCUUUUAUAAGAGAAGAUUAUGACGGUAACUAAUGAAUAAGGAACGGCUAACUACGUG